GACUAACGCUGGCGGCGUGCCUAACACAUGCAAGUCGAACGCACCGCAAGGUGAGUGGCAGACGGGUGAGUAACGCGUAGGUAAUGUGCCUUCUUGCUGGGGAUACCGUUCCGAAAGGAGCGUUAAUACCGAAUGUGUCGGUUUCGGGGCAUCCCGAGGUCGAUAAACUUUCAGGGCGAGAAGAGCAGCCUGCGUUCUAUCAGCUUGUUGGUGGGGUAACGGCCUACCAAGGCUACGACGGAUAGCCGGUCUGAGAGGAUGAUCGGCCACACUGGGACUGAGACACGGCCCAGACUCCUACGGGAGGCAGCAGUGAGGAAUAUUGCGCAAUGGGCGAAAGCCUGACGCAGCGACGCCGCGUGAGGGAUGAAGGCCUUCGGGUUGUAAACCUCUGUCAGUGGGGAAGAGAACGGACGGUACCCACUGAGGGAAGCUUCGGCUAACUACGUGCCAGCAGCCGCGGGUAAU
rnacentral:rRNA from 1 species